rnacentral:lncRNA from 1 species
AACAUUACAGACUCACAAAUCAUAACAAAUUGUUAUGAAUAUCCAACAAAAUCAAAGUACGAAAUAGGAAAAAUUUAGCGCAACUCCCAAAAUUAUAUUUGUACAAAUUCAGAUGGGGAAGAGUUGCCCAGAUGUGCUGCCAUCUCUUUGACAAUAUGCAAGUUUAAACUGCCAAUUUGGUAUCGAACGAAUGUCGCCAGAGAUUUAAAGACUCAUAGUAUGACAAUAUCACUUCAACCAUGUACAUAUCGCAUGGUAGGUUCUAAAAGAAGGCGGUUCCAU